GUGCUUGCUUUGGCAGCACAUAUACUAAAAUUGGAAUGAAACAGAAGAUUAGCAUGGCUCCUAUGCAGGGAUGACAUGCAAAUUUGUGAUGCAUUCCAUAUUUUC